rnacentral:lncRNA from 1 species
UGCUAAUCCCACAGUGAGAUCCUGUUUCUGUGCCUGCCUCCUCCCUUCUCAUCCAGGCGGGAAAGUAGGCUGCUUUGCGAUAUCCCUCCGCUCUCCUGCCGGGGCCUCACGUCAGCUCGUGAAUGUGUUGACCUAGUUCGUAUACGUCUGUCUGCAACCCAAGGCGAGAACUGUGACACGCUGGCCCGCAGGUGACGGGACGCAGAUGGAGGUUGUGACGGCAGUGAUGCCCCAUCCGUGUUCCCUCGCCGCGCCCUCGCCAGGCAGGGGUUGCACAUGCGCUUGGUAAACACUAGCUUCCCUAAAGCUGUGUAUAACUUACCCAGAGCUGGCACGCCCUCAUUUCAUCUCCACACCGCGGUGAGACAGGAGUGUUAAUGCUCCAUCUACAGACAAGAUCUGAGCUCAGAGACCUAGGAGUAACCCAAACUCACAGCUGGACCCACCAGGCAGAGCCGCACUUGCUGAGAGUUCUUACAGCACCCGGUGCUCCCAUAGGAACUUCCACGGGGAGUCGGAGGAGUGGCUACCUUACCCCGCCUGGGCUCACUGCCCUCCAAAAACUCACGUCACCUGCAGCAUCAGGGCAGGUGGCCGGGAGACCAUGCUCCAGCUCUAGCACCGUCUCCUUAUCCUGCAGGAGAGCCAGGCUCUGGAUGCAGGGCAUCAGCAAAGGAGGGGGCUGAUGAAAGGGUGCCCCUCCCCACACGAGGACCACACCGAUGGACUCUCUUUGGUGAGAAAGAGUGUUUGAAAUAUGAGUGGGUUUGUUAGAUUUAGGGGGUUUUGGUUUGUUUGUUUUUCUUUUCUGGAUAGAAAUUUAAAAAGAAAAUUAAGAAAUUAAGACAUUGGCCCAGGAGUCCCAUGCAAAACUGAGGAAGUACCUGGGUGUGGAAGAAAAGCCUUGCCAGGGAGACAGAUCCUGGCGUCUCGGGGCACCACCGUGCUUAGGGAGCAAUGGAGGCUGGCUGCAAGGUCAGGAGAGGGGUAUCAGGAAGUCCUGGAGGAGAGGAGGUCUGUCCACUCCACAGCUGCCCAAGGGCCCCACCAUGGGUCUCAGAGAACUGUGUCCCUUCCAAGCCACUGGGCCAGAGUGGCCGUCCUCACCAUCAGGAAAUUCAUCCUCAUAUUCCAGCUUAUUGUUACUCCCUCUUGUUCUGGAGACCGGUGGGCCAGAUGCUGCAAUGGUGUCACCCCAGCAAACACACUUUCUUACUUUCCCAUCUUUUCCGAAGCUUCCAGCCACAGUCCCUUCAACCUGAGGCACAAGAAAGAGUACAUUCCUUCCAGCAAGUAGCAAAGGACAGCAAAGCCGGGCUUUUCCAGGAGCCUCCGGAUGCCUUGCAGAAGCCUAUGGAAGGCCCCACAACUCCAUGGGCCCUGAGCAUUGUUUUCUCUCAGGGCCUGUGUCUCUUAUCCCUCAGCCAAGCCAGUCACCAGCUCCCAGCCCUCCCUCCCCCCUCCUCCCCCCUCUGUUUGCACAACCACUUGAAGCCUUAUCUGGGGCUCUCUGACAGGACUGUGUUGUGA